UUCCAUCUGGAAGAAUCUGGAGACAGGUGGCUGCAUGGCUGUCGUCAGCUCGUGUCGUGAGAUGUUGGGUUUAAGUCCCGCAACGAGCGCAACCCUUGCCUUUAGUUGCCAGCAGUUCGGCUGGGCACUCUAAAGGGACUGCCGGUGUUAAACCGGAGGAAGGUGGGGAUGACGUCAAGUCCUCAUGGCCUUUAUGGCCAGGGCUACACACGUACUACAAUGGCCGAUACAAAGGGCAGCGACACUGCGAGGUGAAGCCAAUCCCGUAAAAUCGGUCUCAGUCCGGAUUGGAGUCUGCAACUCGACUCCAUGAAGUUGGAAUCGCUAGUAAUCGUGGAUCAGCAUGCCACGGUGAAUACGUUCCCGGGCCUU
rnacentral:rRNA from 1 species